AGCUCCAAUAGCGUAUAUUAAAGUUGUUGCAGUUAAAAAGCUCGUAGUUGAAUUUUGGAUUCUGCCAAUCGGUCCAUCUUUUAGAUGAGUACUGGUUGUGUGGGGUCUAUCCGCCUGGUGAUACAUAAUGUCCUUUAUUGGAUGUUAUGGGUAGUCAGGACCUUUACCUUGAAAAAAUUAGAGUGUUUAAAGCAGGCUUAUGCCGGAAUACAUUAGCAUGGAAUAAUAGAAUAGGACGAAGUUGUUUUAUUUUGUUGGUUUCUAGGACAACCGUAAUGAUUAAUAGGGAUAGUUGGGGGCAUUAGUAUUCAAUUGUCAGAGGUGAAAUUCUUGGAUUUAUUGAAGACUAACUACUGCGAAAGCAUUUGCCAAGGAUGUUUUCA
rnacentral:rRNA from 1 species